AUGAUCAAGGCAGGGAUUGUGAUACCUAGUAUGAGCCCGUAUGCAUCGCCAGUACUUCUGGUUAAGAAAAAAGACGGUAGCUGGCGUUUCUGCGUGGAUUACCGCGAACUCAACGCCAUCACUGUGAAGAACAAAUUCCCUCUUGCUAUGGUUGACGAAUUACUCGAUGAACUGGCAGGAUCAAAAAAUUUCUCCAAGCUGGACCUCAGGGCAGGUUAUCACAAAAUCCGUAUGCAUGAACCGGAUGAGGAGAAGACUGCAUUCAAGACACAUUCGGGACACUUCCAAUUCCGUGUUAUGCCAUUUGGCGCGACCAAUGGACCACCAACAUUUCAGUGCUUAAUGAACAGCAUUUUUGCUCCAGCUAAUCGCAAGUAUGUUAUCACAUUUUUGGACGACAUUCUAGUUUUCAAUACCACUUGGGAGGAACAUUUGGAGCAUCUCCGCUCGGUACUGCAGACCUGCGCGAGCAUCAGUUGUUUGUGA
rnacentral:rRNA from 1 species